UACGAAGGGGGGCUAGCGUUGCUCGGAAUCACUGGGCGUAAAGGGUGCGUAGGCGGGUCUUUAAGUCAGGGGUGAAAUCCUGGAGCUCAACUCCAGAACUGCCUUUGAUACUGAGGAUCUUGAGUUCGGGAGAGGUGAGUGGAACUGCGAGUGUAGAGGUGAAAUGCGUAGAUAUCUGGAGGAACACCGGUGGCGAAGGCGGCAUCCUGGACCGAUACUGACGCUGAGGAGCGAAAGCCAGGGGAGCAAACGGG
rnacentral:rRNA from 1 species